AGUCCAUGUAAGAAAGUGCGAUAAAGGUUUUUCGACUGAGAAUAGGUUUAUCCAAAGAAUAAAAUAAUAGCUAUUAUGAUUCUACCUCUAAAUGCAGAAAUAACAACAGGUUAUGGGCCCAGGUUCAAUAAUUAGUUAUUAUUUUUAUUGAGGAUAUUAUUAAUAGUAAUAAUAUUGAGGAGCGCAGAAGAUAACCUAAAAACAAAAAGAAGUGCGUGAUGGAUAACUCAGUGUUGAAUAUCAUAAGGGCGCUUUAUCAAAUAUAUAAUUGCUUACGUGAUAAUACAGUUAUCAAAAGAACAUAAAAAUUAUUGUUAUUUUAUAUUUGAGAGGUAGGAUCGCGUUAGUUAUUAUUAUAUUAUCUGGAUAAUAAAUCCAUAUUUCACGGAGCAGAAAAACCUUUAUUGCACACACUUGGAAGGAACACGAACGAAUAAACGAAAAAACAAGAGAAGUCUUAAAACUAUCGAUUAGGUCUAUCGACCGUGUCUAGUAAUAACUUCUAGUUACUCUUUUUGUAACUAGCCGUCAGCAUAUAGAUGGCGAGCGAGAACUCACGUUGUCAUUUUCAACAAAAAUGUCGAGCGGGGCGAGUUUAAAUAUGAAAAGCUAAAUAAAGAUGUAACAACAAAAUAAUAACUUGAAACAAAUUUUAGUUCAACAUAUUACUUGUAAGGAAAAGAGUAAAAAUGUCAUAACAUGCGGGUAACCGGUAAAGCCAUAGAAGCAAGUAACGAAUUUUUGACAGACGAGCGUUGAAAACGAUGUGACGUUUGUUAUUCAGAUGCACACAAGUGACACCUGUUGGUUAUAUCUUUUGGAGAAACAGCUGGCAGACAAGCUAACGAAAAAAGAAAUAAAUUUUGUACCAUCAUUGUUAAACUCUAGUGAUAACUAUUGAAAAAAUGUACUGUUACAAAUGAGUUUGUCACGUAGAAAUAGAAAAAUAUGUAAUUUCAAAGAUA